UGCAGCGUUACUCGGAUUUACUGGGCGUAAAGGGUGCGUAGGCGGCCAAGUGUGUCAGAUGUGAAAUCUCGGGGCUUAACUCCGAAACUGCAUCUGAAACUAUUUGGCUUGAGUCUCGGAGAGGGUAGCGGAAUUUCCGGUGUAGCGGUGAAAUGCGUAGAUAUCGGGAGGAACACCUAAGGCGAAGGCAGCUAUCUGGACGAGUACUGACGCUGAGGCACGAAAGCGUGGGGAGCGAAAGGGAUUAGA
rnacentral:rRNA from 1 species